GACGUAGGGUGCAAGCGUUGUCCGGAUUUAUUGGGCGUAAAGAGCUCGUAGGCGGUCUGUCGCGUCGGCUGUGAAAACCCGAGGCUCAACCUCGGGCCUGCAGUCGAUACGGGCAAACUAGAGUACUGCAGGGGAGACUGGAAUUCCUGGUGUAGCGGUGAAAUGCGCAGAUAUCAGGAGGAACACCGGUGGCGAAGGCGGUUCUCUGGGAAUGUCCUGACGCUGAGGAGCGAAAGUGUGGGGAGCGAACAGG
rnacentral:rRNA from 1 species